CCAGAAUGCAGCAGGAGUCCUGCUGCGCGGUGCCCUGGUCGGCAGAGAACAGGCCGUGCGUCCCCAGGUAGGGAGAGACGGCCUUCUGGAUCAGAGCCUCCAGACCCAGGUAGGAGUCUGUCACACCCCCGGCCUCAUGGACCCCCUGAUCCAGACGGACAGACACAGGGUAGACAGACGGGCAGACAGACGGGCACAGAGACAGGGCAGACAGACGGGCACAGAGACAGGGCAGACAUACAGACACGCAGAGAGACAGAGCAGACAGACGGGCACAGAGACAGGGCAGACAGACGGGCACAGAGACAGGGCAGACAGACGGGCACAGAGACAGGGCAGACAGACAGACACGCAGAGAGACAGGGCAGACAGACGGGCACAGAGACAGGGCAGACAGACAGAUAGGCAGAGAGAGACAGGGCAGACAGACAGACGGGCAGCGAGGCAAUGGGCAGACAGACAGAUAGGCAGAGAGACAGGGCAGACAGAAAGACAGACAGGCAGAGAGGAAAAGGGAAGACAGACAGAAAGACAGACAAAUGGGCAAUAACCAUUCAAAUAUAACCUGUAAGUGUUUGUAAUUUUUUACUCUAGCCAAGAUGCAGACACCUUAAAGAUGGUAAAUGACGGUACACAUCCGAGACUUUAUAGUUAACGUUAUCAUCAUGAAGUCGCACCACACAGGUUCACCAGCAGGGGUCGCCGUCAGGCCAUUUGUAUGUUCUCAAGUAAAGCAUUCAAUGACCCGAGGAUAUCUCUUCCUCAGGAGGGGGUUAGGGUUAGGGUUAGGGUUACUGGGACGCAGCCACAUGAAGACAGACAACUGGGCAGUCACCAUUAACCAUGAGCACAGGACUGGGAGGGGGGCACUGGGAGCGCAGCCACAUGAAGACAGACAACUGGGCAGUCACCAUUAACCAUGAGCACAGGACUGGGAGGGGGGCACUGGGAGCGCAGCCACAUGAAGACAGACAACUGGGCAGUCACCAUUAACCAUGAGCACAGGACUGGGGGAGGAGCUCUUUGAGGGAAAUGGAAAACAUAUGAAACCCAGGACAGUUUACAACUCCCCAUCACACACACACACACACACACACACACACACACACACACACACACACACACACACACACACACACACAAACACUGCGCUGAGUGACUUGUGAGCCCAUCCUGUCCAUCUGCUGUACACUACUCCCACUGUGCGUGCGUGCGUGCGUGCGUGCGUGCGUGCGUGCGUGUACCUGCAGUAUGAGCAGCAUCUGGGUGAUGGAGGGGGGCACGCGGGCGCGCGGCCGGCCCAGCGCCUCGUCCAGCUUCAGGUUCAGCGUGAUGACGUUCCUGAAGUGGAUCAGAGCCAGCUGCCGCACGGAGGGCUCCUUACCCUGCACACACACACACACACACACACACACACACACACACACACACACACACACAGUCAACACACGCACACACACACACACACACACACACACACACACACACACACAGUCAACACACGCACACACACGCGCACACACACACACACACACACACACACACACACACACACACACACACACACACACAGUCAACACACGCACACACACACACACGCGCACACACACACACACACACACACACACACACACACACACACACAUCACACACACACACACACACACACACAGUCAACACACGCACACACACACACACACGCACACACAAACACACACAGCCACCUCACACACACACACACACACACACACACACACACACACUCACACACACCUAGCAUUAAAGAAGUGUAGUAGUGAGUAGGGUUAAAGAAGUGUAGUAGUGAGUAGGGUUAAAGAGGUGUAGCAGUGAGUAACAUUAAAGAGGUGUAGCAGUUAGUUACAUUAAAGAGGUGUAGUAGUGAGUAACAUUAAAGAGGUGUAGCAGUGAGUAACAUUAAAGAGGUGCAGUAGUGAGUAACAUUAAAAAGGUGUAGUAGUGAGUAACAUUAAAGAGGUGUAGUAGUGAGUAGGGUUAAAGAGGUGUUGUAGUGAGUAGCAUUAAAGGCCCACUAUGCAACUUCGGGAAUUUCUUCGCUGUUUUCUUGGUUUUGGCACGCACAUUUCUCUACACAGCGCCCCCUACAGCUUCGUAGUAGAUAUUUUACAACACUGUCGUAACAACUCGUUGAUGACCCUUCCCCAUGCACUUCUACGCGAGCCAUGUGCAUUUGUUUUCAAAGAAGCCGGCGAAUGCGUGGAGCCAUGUCCGAAGUAAAUGUUCAUAAAGUGUAGGCAAGGUUAUACAUUUUUAAAAUGGGGUAUUUGUAUUGCAAUAAACAUAAAGCCAUCCUUUUUAUAGUUGACGGGGAGAAUUUAUAUCCUAGAUUAUAAUUGUUUUAUCUUAGGUUGAACAGAACAAUCAGUGUGAGAGUGUUGGCCAACAUAAUAAUCUAAAUAAACAAGAACCUGGAUUCAGGGAUUCAGUCUGUAUCUGGGGGACGAGACAGACGAACAGCAAAACACCAAUGGAAACAAAGGUGUUUAUAUGGCUGCAACCAAGCAAGCUAGAAACAUACAGGGCUCACAACAAAACGUUCGAGAAAACAAUUUUUACAGGGCUCACAACAAAAUGGUUGAGCAAACACAUUUGUACAGACACUAUCAACAUCAAGAAUACCACGAG
ensembl:lncRNA